AGCGUAGGCGGAACUACAAGACAGGGGUCAAAUCUCCGGGCUCAACCUGGAACUUGCCUUUGUGACUGUGGUUCUUGAGUAUGGUAGAGGUUGGCGGAAUUUCCGGUGUAGCGGUGGAAUGCGUAGAGAUCGGAAAGAACACCAGAGGCGAAGGCGGCCAACUGGACCAAUACUGACGCUGAGGCUCGAAAGCGUGGGGAGCAAACAGGAUUAGAUACCCUGGUAGUCCACGCUGUAAACGAUGAACACUAGAUGUCGGGAGGGGUUCCUUCCGGUGUCGUCGCUAACGCAGUAAGUGUUCCGCCUGGGGAGUACGCUCGCAAGGUGAA
rnacentral:rRNA from 1 species